rnacentral:tRNA from 1 species
UGUUCUGUGGCUUAGUUGGUUAAAGCACCGGUCUAGCGAAUACGGAGUCGUGGGUUCGAAUCCCACCAGAACGU